CUUCGAGACUGAGGUGUCGAGAGGGAGUGGGUGGUGUGAGUCGUCGACGGCGGUCGCCGCUUGUUGCUGCGGCUGUCGGUCGGUUAGAAGAGGCGGCGAUGAAGGCUGUAUCAGCCGGAGUUCGAGUCGGUGUGGCAGUGGCGCGGAACUACUGCCGCCACUGAGUGAGGGCAGAAGGCGGUGCGACCGCUUGAAGAGACAGGCGGUGGUUGCACCGGAGGGAGGAGUUAGGACUCCGGCGGCGGCUUCAUGCUGCUGCUGUCGGUCGGAGUGAAGGGAAGGGAGGCGGAGGCGGUGGCUUGGCGCCACUGUCGUCCGACGGCCAGGGUGAGAGAGAGAUCGAGCGAGGCGACGGAGGCCACGGCGGCUGCCGUUGCCAAGGAGAGGUGCCAGUGACGGCCGGCGGCUGCUACCGUCGGGGAGCGGCGUAGGGCCUGCGUCUGUGAGUGUGCGUCUUGUGUUCCGGGAGAUAGAGAGGGAGAUGGGGGCGAGAGAAGGGAGAACCGAGAGGUCAGUAGCUAUCGCCGCUU
rnacentral:lncRNA from 1 species